UACCCAGGGAUGGAAAUCGAAACCACAGUGUUCCGCUUACCGAGCAGAUGCCAUGUCCACUAGGUUAUCCUGGAC
rnacentral:tRNA from 1 species